UACGUAGGGCGCAAGCGUUGUCCGGAAUUAUUGGGCGUAAAGAGCUCGUAGGCGGUCUGUUACGUCCGCUGUGAAAACCCAGGGCUUAACCCUGGGCUUGCAGUGGAUACGGGUAGACUAGAGGCAGGUAGGGGAGAAUGGAAUUCCCGGUGUAGCGGUGAAAUGCGCAGAUAUCGGGAGGAACACCGGUGGCGAAGGCGGUUCUCUGGGACGUUACUGACACUGAGGCGCGAAAGCGUGGGGAGCGAACAGG
rnacentral:rRNA from 1 species